rnacentral:rRNA from 1 species
AACGAACACUGGCGGCAUGCCUAACACAUGCAAGUCGAACGAGACCUUCGGGUCUAGUGGCGCACGGGUGCGUAACGCGUGGGAACCUGCCCUUAGGUUCGGAAUAACUCCCCGAAAGGGGUGCUAAUACCGGAUAAUGUCUUCGGACCAAAGAUUUAUCGCCUUUGGAUGGGCCCGCGUUGGAUUAGCUAGUUGGUAGGGUAAAAGCCUACCAAGGCUACGAUCCAUAGCUGGUCUGAGAGGAUGAUCAGCCACACUGGGACUGAGACACGGCCCAGACUCCUACGGGAGGCAGCAGUGGGGAAUAUUGGACAAUGGGCGAAAGCCUGAUCCAGCAAUGCCGCGUGAGUGAUGAAGGCCUUAGGGUUGUAAAGCUCUUUUACCCGGGAUGAUAAUGACAGUACCGGGAGAAUAAGCUCCGGCUAACUCCGUG